rnacentral:lncRNA from 1 species
GAACCAAAAUAUGGAUUCAUGUGCAUAAAAUUCUAUGAUGAUCUCAGGUCUUAGGAUCACUUGCACAACUCCCACUUAGAGAACCAUCUUUGACAUGCAAGUAAGACUUCUAUAAGAUAUUCUCUAUUGUCGAGUCAAUUUAGUGGACUCAUAUCCAAAUGAGUAUCCACAUUCUUGUAUUAGUAUCCCACACAAGUGGCUA